rnacentral:rRNA from 1 species
UACAGAGGUCUCAAGCGUUGUUCGGAUUCAUUGGGCGUAAAGGGUGCGUAGGCGGCGCGGUAAGUCGGGUGUGAAAUCUCGGGGCUUAACUCCGAAACUGCAUUCGAUACUGCCGUGCUUUGAGGACUGGAGAGGAGACUGGAAUUUACGGUGUAGCGGUGAAAUGCGCAGAUAUCAGGAGGAACACCUAUUGCGAAGGCAGCUCGCUGGGACGUAACUGACGCUGGAGACGCGAAAAGCGUGGGGAGCAAACAGG